CAAGAAAAUAAUAGGUAACAUGCCAGGACUGUAGUUCACAUGCCUCUUGAGAUCAAACUGGGACACUCGUGGGAUGCAUCUAGGUGCUUGGUAGGAAACCCCAGAGAGAGGAGCUCUGUUGCGUAGCUGCUGAAGCAUCCGUACCUCCGGCUGAAGCCACGUUAUCUCCUGAUCCAGGUACAGAUGAGGAAAGUAAAAGGAUUGACGUUGUUUGGUGCCAACAACACGCAUUGUCUACAGUCCAAACGGCAACCGUAAGAGGAUCCUAACAGACCUGCCAACCUCUCAGCCUACGAGCAGCAGAAUCCUCUGAGCAGCUGAUAAUUUGGCCAGAACUGUACAGCAGCAGCAGCAGAAGAGGCUGGAUGUCACAGAGUGUACAUAGACCAAUCGCAUCCUGUUUCUGCUCACAUGCUCGCCCUCAGCUGCACUUCACUCCACCCACUACCUUCUCCGUGUCAGAGAAGGAAGUCAAUAGACUGUUUCA